UAUUCGGGGAAACAAACUUAGUCUAGAUGCAUUAUCUGGUCUUCCAAAAGUUCUAUCACAGCAAUGCGAUGGUCAAGUUCUGCUUGCAUUGUCCAGUUUUGACCACUUUAAUUCGGGAAAAGCCCUGUCCUAAUAUAACACAUAUCUAUUUUUAUAAGUCACGUGGUAUUUCGAAAACGAGGCAGUGAGAAAACGUCAACAGAAACACGUGAAUUUUUAGAGAUGUCCGAUUCAUCAAGCAGUCAAAGCAGUAACACGAUAGAUUAUGAAUAUGCACAAGUCCAUACAUCCCCAAGGAGGGGGAGGGGAUUAAGGAGGAGGGGAGGAACCUGUGGACGGCUAAGGGGUCGAGGAAGGGGUCUCGGGGCAGACAGCAGUCCAAGGAUGGAGAGGGCGAGGUAGAGGAAGGGGGCCAAGGGGUGCACGUGGUACAGUUGCUGUGCUGCAGCAGGAGGAUCGGGCCAGGGUACUGACAUUGCAACAGCAAAGGAGAAGGGAUCUACAUGAACCUUGCGCUCCUAUCAUACAAAGCUAAUAAUCAUAUUUUUGUAAUAUUAGUAGUGUGACUUUCUGUAUGCUACUGUUUUAUGAAUGUUAUCCACAAUUUACUUCAUCAUUCAAAUUAUUUUGACUUGUUGAUAAUCAAUUACAAAGUACUGUAUUAUUUCUUUUCAUAUCUUUUUUAUUUUGAUAUUUCUUUGGCAUGUACACAGACAAAAAGAACAGUAGACAUUUUACCAAAGCAUUCAGGAGACAAUUUAUACUAUUACUCACUGAAAGUGUUAAAUUUUACCAAAAAUGCACAGACCCUCUCACACAUCAAACAUACAUCCCAUAUGUGUAUGAACACCUAAUUUUUAACCAACCAAGUGAAUGGUAUGGUUAUAAGACCUGUUUCUCUAGGUAGGUAUUUACAUUACACAUGGGGGUAUUUCAUUUUAGUUCACAGAAUAUUGAAAAAAUAUGCAACUAGACACUUGAUUAACACAUUUAUCAGAAUGAACCAUCUAUGAACACAAUGUUAUAAGUUAAUAACAACUACACACAAUGUUAGUACACACGUGCACCUCAAACACAUUCUCACAAGUGAACACUUCGUAUACACACUGAUAAUUGAACACUUCCUACAAACUGAUAGUGAACACUUCCUACACACACUGAUAAUUGAACACUUCCUACAAACUGAUAGUGAAUAAUUCCUACACACACUGAUAAUUGAACACUUCCUACACACACUGAUAAGUGAACACUUCCUACACACACUGAUAGUGAACACUUCCUAUACACACUGCUAGUGAACACUUCCUACACAAACUGAUAAGUGAACACUUCCUGCAAACUGAUAAUUGAACACUUCCUACACACAAUGUUGAAAGAACACCUGCAUUUACUGUCAAGUGAACACUCUCAAACACACACUAGUACUGAAAUGUAAACACCUGCAAUACACCAUUAAGUGAACACCUACCUCCUACAUGUUCUGAAAUUGAACACCACAUUUACACAAUACUUACUUCCACAAACAAUUAUCAAAAAACGCAUACAUACCUUAAAUAAAACCUUAGUAGAAAAAUUUGGGAUGAAAUUUGAGGGAAAAUAGAUAAGUUAAAUAUAAGUGCAUUAAAAUUUAUCAACUCAAAAACCAAAAAUAAGGAAAAACAGUUAUUUUUAUACAUUAGAAUGCUACAGUACUCCCACCCACAUGGAUUUGUUCUAUAAUAAUUGUUUUAUGUAUUAGGAUAUAAUCAGAAGGAUGGACCCAAAGCCACUGAUAAAUUUAGUUCUUCAGCUAGUGUAUCGUCAGCCAGGCCUAGUUUUUGACCUUUGC